rnacentral:rRNA from 1 species
UACGUAGGGGGCAAGCGUUGUCCGGAAUUAUUGGGCGUAAAGCGCGCGCAGGCGGUUUCUUAAGUCUGAUGUGAAAGCCCACGGCUCAACCGUGGAGGGUCAUUGGAAACUGGGGAACUUGAGGACAGAAGAGGAGAGUGGAAUUCCACGUGUAGCGGUGAAAUGCGUAGAUAUGUGGAGGAACACCAGUGGCGAAGGCGACUCUCUGGUCUGUUUCUGACGCUGAGGUGCGAAAGCGUGGGUAGCAAACAGG